rnacentral:tRNA from 1 species
AGGGGAAUAGUUCAGUGGCAGAGUGCAUGCUUAGCAUGAACAAGGUCCUGAGUUCAAUCCCCAGUACCUCUA